AGCAGCCGCGGUAAUUCCAGCUCCAAUAGCGUAUAUUAAAGUUGUUGCAGUUAAAAAGCUCGUAGUUGAAUUUCGGGAUUGACGUGACGGUCAUGCCUUAAGGGGUAUGAACUGUUACAGUUGAUUUCUCACCUUCUGGAGAAACUUGAUGUCCUUUAUUGGGUGUCUUGCGGAUCCAGGACCUUUACCUUGAAAAAUUAGAGUGUUUAAAGCAGGCAUUUUUGCUCGAAUACAUUAGCAUGGAAUAAUAGAAUAGGACGGCAUGGUUCUAUUUUGUUGGUUUCUAGGAUCACCGUAAUGAUUAAUAGGGAUAGUUGGGGGCAUUAGUAUUCAAUUGUCAGAGGUGAAAUUCUUGGAUUUAUUGAAGACUAACUACUGCGAAAGCAUUUGCCAAGGAUGUUUUCAUUAAUCAAGAACGAAAGUUAGGGGAUCGAAGACGAUCAGAUACCGUCGUAGUCUUAACCAUAAACUAUGCCGACUAGGAAUCAGACGAUGUUAAUUUUUAAUGACUCGUUUGG
rnacentral:rRNA from 1 species